rnacentral:rRNA from 1 species
GAUGAACGCUGGCGGCAUGCCUAAUACAUGCAAGUCGAACGAGAGGAAGGAAAGCUUGCUUUUCUGAAUCUAGUGGCGAACGGGUGAGUAACACGUAGGUAACCUGCCCAUGUGCCCGGGAUAACUUCUGGAAACGGAUGCUAAAACCGGAUAGGUAGCAGACAAGCAUUUGACUGCUAUUAAAGUGGCUAAGGCCAUGAACAUGGAUGGACCUGCGGUGCAUUAGCUAGUUGGUGAGGUAACGGCCCACCAAGGCGACGAUGCAUAGCCGGCCUGAGAGGGCGGACGGCCACAUUGGGACUGAGACACGGCCCAAACUCCUACGGGAGGCAGCAGUAGGGAAUUUUCGUCAAUGGGGGGAACCUUGAACGAGCAAUGCCGCGUGAGUGAAGAAGGUCUUCGGAUCGUAAAGCUCUGUUGUAAGAGAAAAACGACAUUCAUAGGGAAUGAUGAGUGAGUGAUGGUAUCUUACCAGAAAGUCACGGCU